rnacentral:misc_RNA from 1 species
AAGUCGUAACAAGGUUUCCGUAGGUGAACCUGCGGAAGGAUCAUUACAAAAUACCUACGCCGGCCCCCCGGGGCUGCGCGUUUCUAUUUACACCCUUUGCCUAUGCGUACCCUUAUCGCUUCCUCGGCAGGCUCGCCUGCCGCCAGGAACCCCUUAAACCCUUGCAAUUAUGAAAGAAAACUUCUGAUACCAACCUAAAUUAUUACAA